rnacentral:rRNA from 1 species
CAAGUCGAACGGGCGUAGCAAUACGUCAGGUGGCAGGACGGGUGAGUAAACACGGUAGGGGUAACCGUUACCUUUUUGGUUCGGAACAACUGAGGGAAACUUCAGCUAAUACCGGAUAAGCCCUUACGGGGAAAGAUUUAUCGCCGAAAGAUCGGCCCGCGUCUGAUUAGCUAGUUGGUGGGGUAAGAGCCCACCAAGGCGACGAUCAGUAGCUGGUCUGAGAGGAUGAUCAGCCACAUUGGGACUGAGACACGGCCCAAACUCCUACGGGAGGCAGCAGUGGGGAAUAUUGGACAAUGGGCGAAAGCCUGAUCCAGCCAUGCCGCGUGAGUGAUGAAGGCCCUAGGGUUGUAAAGCUCUUUUAACGGGGAAGAUAAUGACGGUACCCGUAGAAUAAGCCCCGGCUAACUUCGUG